GGGCGCAAGCCUGAUGCAGCCAUGCCGCGUGUAUGAAGAAGGCCUUCGGGUUGUAAAGUACUUUCAGCAGUGAGGAAGGUGGGUAUGUUAAUAGCAUACUCAUUUGACGUUAGCUGCAGAAGAAGCACCGGCUAACUCCGUGCCAGCAGCCGCGGUAAUACGGAGGGUGCGAGCGUUAAUCGGAAUUACUGGGCGUAAAGCGCAUGCAGGUGGAUGAUUAAGUCAGAUGUGAAAGCCCGGGGCUCAACCUCGGAAUAGCAUUUGAAACUGGUCAUCUAGAGUACUGUAGAGGGGGGUAGAAUUUCAGGUGUAGCGGUGAAAUGCGUAGAGAUCUGAAGGAAUACCGGUGGCGAAGGCGGCCCCCUGGACAGAUACUGACACUCAGAUGCGAAAGCGUGGGGAGCAAACAGGAUUAGAUACCCUGGUAGUCCACGCCGUAAACGAUGUCUACUUGGAGGUUGUGGCCUUGAGCCGUGGCUUUCGGAGCUAACGCGUUAAGUAGACCGCCUGGG
rnacentral:rRNA from 1 species